GCUACCAUAUUGACACAGACUCUCCAAAUCAAUGGCAGGGACAUUGCCAUGAAAAACAGGAUAAAGGGAAGUGCUUGGUCUUCCCAGGAGCCGCAGCGGGCUCUGCGCUGGGGGUUACUGGAGGUUAUUUCCUCCGCACACUGCGCUGGCCUCGCCCGGUCCUUCCGAUUACACACCCUGCUUUUGUGCGUCCCGGCUUGCCGCGGGAGAGAGCUCUGCGUGUUCGCGGUUUUGUUCCCUUCAUUACCAUGCAGACAAUAUUCGGCUGUUCUCAAGGAAGGUCUGGGAUCCCUGCUCUUUUCCCAGGCUUUCUUCUUGUCGGUGAAAAGAGGAAAAACAACGAGGAGCCUGUUAGGCUGCGUCUCGCCAAGCCAUGGUGUGACGCUGAUGUAAGCGGCAGCGCGGCGUUUCGCAGAUCUCGACCGAUGUAAAUCAGCGUGGCCUCAUUGCCUCCGGCGGCAGAUAAAUUCACCAAAAAGAUUCACCGGCACAAAAGCCGGUCCAUGAUGUCAGACAACCGAAGGCAGUUUAUCUCUAAAAUUGUUGCACAGCUCCUUGUUGGACAAUUAGUAAGCUAAAUGUCUACUAGCAUACAUUUAAACAGAAACAUUAAAGCAGUAGGUUUAAAACCA